AUCAGCGACCAUACCACGUAGAAAGCACCAGUUCUCGUUCGAUCACCAAAGUUAAGCUUCGUUAAGCACGGUAAGUACUUGCAUGGUUGACCGGCUGGGAAUACCGGGUGUUGUUAACU
rnacentral:rRNA from 1 species